GAUGAAGAACGUAGCGAAAUGCGAUAAGUAAUGUGAAUUGCAGAAUUCAGUGAAUCAUCGAAUCUUUGAACGCACAUUGCGCCCGCCAGCAUUCUGGCGGGCAUGCCUGUUCGAGCGUCAUUUCAACCCUCGAGCCCCCCCCGGGGGCCUCGGUGUUGGGGGACGGCACACCAGCCGCCCCCGAAAUGCAGUGGCGACCCCGCCGCAGCCUCCCCUGCGUAGUAGCACACACCUCGCACCGGAGCGCGGAGGCGGUCACGCCGUAAAACGCCCAACUUUCUUAGAGUUGACCUCGGAUCAGGUAGGAAUACCCGCUGAACUUAAGCAUAUCAAUAAGCGGAGGA
rnacentral:misc_RNA from 1 species